rnacentral:rRNA from 1 species
AUUGAACGCUGGCGGCAUGCUUUACACAUGCAAGUCGAACGGCAGCGCGGGCUUCGGCCUGGCGGCGAGUGGCGAACGGGUGAGUAAUACAUCGGAACGUGCCCAGUAGUGGGGGAUAGCUCGGCGAAAGCCGGAUUAAUACCGCAUACGACCUGAGGGUGAAAGCGGGGGAUCUUCGGACCUCGCGCUAUUGGAGCGGCCGAUGGCAGAUUAGCUAGUUGGUGGGGUAAAGGCCUACCAAGGCGACGAUCUGUAGCUGGUCUGAGAGGACGACCAGCCACACUGGGACUGAGACACGGCCCAGACUCCUACGGGAGGCAGCAGUGGGGAAUUUUGGACAAUGGGCGAAAGCCUGAUCCAGCAAUGCCACGUGUGUGAUGAAGGCCUUCGGGUUGUAAAGCACUUUUGGCGGGAACGAAAAGGACUGUGCCAAUACCACGGUUCGAUGACGGUACCCGCAGAAUAAGCACCGGCUAACUACGUG